rnacentral:rRNA from 1 species
UACGGGGGGGGCAAGCGUUGUUCGGAAUUACUGGGCGUAAAGGGCUCGUAGGUGGCCAACUAAGUCAUGCGUGAAAUCCCUCGGCUUAACCGGGGAACUGCGUCUGAUACUGGAUGGCUCGAGUUUGGGAGAGGGAUGCGGAAUUCCAGGUGUAGCGGUGAAAUGCGUAGAUAUCUGGAGGAACACCGGUGGCGAAGGCGGCAUCCUGGACCAACACUGACGCUGAGUGAGCGAAAGCCAGGGGAGCAAACGGG